UCCCCCUUUGGUUCUGAGGACAGAUUUUUGGAAGAUGGAGAUUUUCCGGUGAUAGCCUUCUUUGCUUUCACUAGUGACUGUUUUACCUUUGAUAUGAUGUUAUUUGACUGCUUUUGAACUGGCUUGGUUGGAGUUUCUUUUGGAAGGUCCUUGGAUGUCUUUGUUGUAUCAUUUUCCUUGGUGGCUUCAACCUCAGUUUUCACUGGCUCGUCAAUUUGUUCUUUCUCCAAAUUAGCUGCUCCAGUUUUAACAAAUUCCUCCUCUUCUUUUUCUUCAAAUUUAGAUGCCAGUGUUUCUCUAACAGGUGCACUUACAGCAUUAGAGAUUUCAUCCACCUUUGUGUCAGCAUCUCCUUCUUUCUUGUUAUCAACUUCUUCAUUUUUCACACUCUCUACAUUCACACUCCCUUCUUCAGGUAUAGCUGCCGUUGCAUCCUUCUGUUCCUCAGGCUUCUUGAUAUCAACCUCUACCUCUCUUGAAGAUACUUGGACAGCAUCAGGUGCUUCUGAUUCCUUCUUUUCAUCCUCUGCAGCAGCAACAACAAACUUUUCCUCGACACUGGUAGGGUUCUCCGUAUCACUGGCCGCUUCUUUUGACUCAAUCGCAUCAGUAAAGCUUGAUUCUUUCUUGACAUCUUCUUCAACAACCUUUUCUUCAACUUCAUGAGAUGGUUCCUCCAGACUUGCAGGGUUUUCCUGAGCUUUGACAUUCAGUGAAACUUGUGUCGUCUUCACUGUGGUGUUAGUUUCACUUUCCACCCCCUUUUCAGUUUUCUCUUCAUUGAAUGAUAUGGAGUCUUUGAUUGUGGCAUCUAGAGAUCCUUCACUUUUUUCAGUUGCUUCCUUUGGCUCCACCUCCUUAUUAGUUUCCCCAAUUUCCUCACCUACUUGUAAUUGUUCUCUUGACUUUUCCUCCACUCCAUUAGACAGAGCAUCUGUAUCUGUGUUCUCUUCCAACUUUGAGUUAUCAGUCUCUUUCACCACCUCAAUAUCUGAGUCUUUGGGAAGGUUAACCUCCACUGUAUCAGCGGUUAGUUCUUGAACUUCAGCUGCUUCCUUUAGCUUCUCUUCUUCCUCUUGUUUGAAUAUUUGAAUUUCUGGCUCACUUUGCUUUUCAUCCACUUCAGUACCCACAGGCUCUGCCUUCUCUGUUUCUGUAGGCACUACUUCGUCGUUGUUAGUCUCUUUCAAUAGGUCUGCCUCAUGUUCUAUUUCUCUUGUUUUUUCUUCUACAGCAAUGGCAUCACUGGUCUCUGCAGAGUGUUCAGGAAUUGCAGCAAAUGUGUCUGAUUGCGUCUUUUCCUUUUGUUCUGUUGAAUGCUGUUCUGGUUCUUUCUUAUUUUCUUCAACUUCAGUAACCACAGGUUCUGCAUUUUCUGUUUCUGUAGGCUCAACAUCAGUAACCACAGAUUCGUCUUCUCCUUUUUCCGUAGGCACCCGACGACAAUGAAAAAAAGAAAACAAAUAUGUAAAAUCUGCAAGCUUAAUUCAAUCAGUCCCAUUAUUUGACUUUAAUGUCCCCCUUUGGUUCUGAGGACAGAUUUUUGGAAGAUGGAGAUUUUCCGGUGAUAGCCUUCUUUGCUUUCACUAGUGACUGUUUUACCUUUGAUAUGAUGUUAUUUGACUGCUUUUGAACUGGCUUGGUUGGAGUUUCUUUUGGAAGGUCCUUGGAUGUCUUUGUUGUAUCAUUUUCCUUGGUGGCUUCAACCUCAGUUUUCACUGGCUCGUCAAUUUGUUCUUUCUCCAAAUUAGCUGCUCCAGUUUUAACAAAUUCCUCCUCUUCUUUUUCUUCAAAUUUAGAUGCCAGUGUUUCUCUAACAGGUGCACUUACAGCAUUAGAGAUUUCAUCCACCUUUGUGUCAGCAUCUCCUUCUUUCUUGUUAUCAACUUCUUCAUUUUUCACACUCUCUACAUUCACACUCCCUUCUUCAGGUAUAGCUGCCGUUGCAUCCUUCUGUUCCUCAGGCUUCUUGAUAUCAACCUCUACCUCUCUUGAAGAUACUUGGACAGCAUCAGGUGCUUCUGAUUCCUUCUUUUCAUCCUCUGCAGCAGCAACAACAAACUUUUCCUCGACACUGGUAGGGUUCUCCGUAUCACUGGCCGCUUCUUUUGACUCAAUCGCAUCAGUAAAGCUUGAUUCUUUCUUGACAUCUUCUUCAACAACCUUUUCUUCAACUUCAUGAGAUGGUUCCUCCAGACUUGCAGGGUUUUCCUGAGCUUUGACAUUCAGUGAAACUUGUGUCGUCUUCACUGUGGUGUUAGUUUCACUUUCCACCCCCUUUUCAGUUUUCUCUUCAUUGAAUGAUAUGGAGUCUUUGAUUGUGGCAUCUAGAGAUCCUUCACUUUUUUCAGUUGCUUCCUUUGGCUCCACCUCCUUAUUAGUUUCCCCAAUUUCCUCACCUACUUGUAAUUGUUCUCUUGACUUUUCCUCCACUCCAUUAGACAGAGCAUCUGUAUCUGUGUUCUCUUCCAACUUUGAGUUAUCAGUCUCUUUCACCACCUCAAUAUCUGAGUCUUUGGGAAGGUUAACCUCCACUGUAUCAGCGGUUAGUUCUUGAACUUCAGCUGCUUCCUUUAGCUUCUCUUCUUCCUCUUGUUUGAAUAUUUGAAUUUCUGGCUCACUUUGCUUUUCAUCCACUUCAGUACCCACAGGCUCUGCCUUCUCUGUUUCUGUAGGCACUACUUCGUCGUUGUUAGUCUCUUUCAAUAGGUCUGCCUCAUGUUCUAUUUCUCUUGUUUUUUCUUCUACAGCAAUGGCAUCACUGGUCUCUGCAGAGUGUUCAGGAAUUGCAGCAAAUGUGUCUGAUUGCGUCUUUUCCUUUUGUUCUGUUGAAUGCUGUUCUGGUUCUUUCUUAUUUUCUUCAACUUCAGUAACCACAGGUUCUGCAUUUUCUGUUUCUGUAGGCUCAACAUCAGUAACCACAGAUUCGUCUUCUCCUUUUUCCGUAGGCUCCACUUUAAUGUUAUUGGUCUCUUCCGGAUUUCUCCACUGUUGUCUUUUCCUCUAUGGUCUUGCUCUGUUUCUCAUCGGCUUCCGCUGAGGGUUCAGCAUCAGCAAUUGCAACUGCGCUUGGUUGUGCUGCCUCUUCUGAUUUUUCUUGUGAUUCUUUUUCUUGUUUUGUUACUUCCUUCUCUUCAGUGGCCACAG
rnacentral:lncRNA from 1 species